AUGCAUGUGGAGAAAAGAAAAUAUUCCCAGUUUCUAGGGGGGGAAAAAAAAAAACCGCACCGGUUCCCUGUUUUAAAAUGGCACAGACCUCAUAAUGGCUUUUGAGGACAAAAACUGACAACCAGGACCUUCCCAACCACCAAAGCACGCCAAAAUACAGCUACACCAACACCGCACCCCGGCCAGAAACCUCACCCGACUUUGCCCUCUUAAUCCCAACAGCUAAAACAACAAACACCAGGGUGAAAAACUAGUGAAAGUAAGCGGAGUUUCUGUUUUGUUCUGCCACGGUUUCUCCCCAGGCAGAAGGAGGCCGGGGGCCACCUCGCUCUUCCCUCAGGCACCACAGACAAAAGAGCGACAACCCGGGAGAGGAGGGGGGGGGGGGGGGGGGGGGUGUGAGGAGGGGGGGUGUCCCCCCUCCCCGACCGCGGGAAGAGGGGAGCUCUGGCCUUAUCUCCCCUUCUCCCCUCACCAUCGUUCGGUUCACUCUACCGACUGCGACACGGGGAUGCGUUUUCUCUUCUUCCCGGACACGCAGAGCCCCUGGAAAAAACAACAGCAGGGCGCAGGCCCCGCACAAAAGCCGCCUGGUCCCUUCCUCUGCCGUAGCCUGAGGCGAUGCCGCCUCUUCCCACACACACCCCCCCCCUCUCCCCCUAGGCCGGACCCAAGCGCCAGGCUCUCCCAACCCCUCUCCGCUUCCCCCGCACCAGGGACGGCGGCCUUCGCAGCCCCGUCCCUGCCCGGGGCGCUCAGAAAUCGAGCCCGGCAGGAGCCAGAGGCCUAGCGAGGCAGGCAGCGGCAACAGGCCCGACAGGCAAGUGCAGCGCCCGCCCCUCCGCCUCCCUUCCCCGGGAAGGGGAGCAGAGCCCUCCCGCCAGCGCUCCCCCCAGGGCCAACCCCAUUUUUUUUCCCCGCACCCCAGGCUCUCCGCACCCCAACUCGGCAGCGGGGAGUGGUGGUGGGGAGAGGGGGAUAGAGGAGACAGCGCACUCACCACACGGGCCGGGCUCCCCGCAGCGGCCACCGCCCCCCUCAGCUGCGGCAUACGGGGGCGGCCGCAGCGCCCUGCUCCUCCAGCACCCGCAGACCCCGGGGCCCCCCCAGCGCCGUCGCCUGCUGCCGCCCCUCCGCCGCCACCGCCGCCGCUGCAGCAGCGGCCAUCUUGUGCGUCGGCUGCCUCCCCUCGCCGCCCGCCUGCCUCCCUGCACCGCCUCGCCGCUACCGCCCGCCCCUUCCUGCGCCCGGCCCCCGGGACAGGCGGGGCGGGACCGAGAGAAAGAGCCGAGUCACGGGCUGGAGCGCCGGGAAGAGCUCGGUGGGGUGAGGGGUGGCGCUGCCGGGCGGGGAUGCAGCCCGUUCCUGUCAGGGUCGGUGUGUGCUCCCCGUUCUCCUUCCCUCGGCCUUUGGGUGGCUUUUUCGCUCUUCUACCUCAUCUUCUCGUCACCCUCGAUCACGGCGGGGCUGUGAGGCCGUUUAUACGCCUUAAGCGUAGCCUGAGGAGCUCUCUGCCUGUCCGGGGCCUCUCAAAAUGCCUCAACCCGCCAUUUUCCCUCCCUCAGCGCCCACACAGCGAGGGGGCUUCCUCUGUUCGGGGCACGCUGCGUUUUCCCCUCUUUUUCCCCACUGUGAUUGCCUCACGCCAUCAAACAUUAAAAGCUGGGGCGUUGGUUUAUUUUUUUUACUUAGAGGGGAGAAAAUCACAAGUGCUGUUCCCCAUCCAGGUACGCUCUAGGUGGCUGCGCAGGGCAAAGACCCUGUUAGGCCCGCCAUGGGAAGGCACAGAGCUGGGCUUGCUGCAGGAGAAGGGCCCCCAUAGAUUUCUUUGCUGCAGGACACACUUAAUUCAUCUUCAGCCUCAACCAACACCACAGGCUGCUACGAAUGCAAAAAUUUAUACAAAGAUACCCUGUGGCUUCAGUUGCUGUGAAAAAGGAAGAAAUGAUAAGGAAGCAGGUAAAGGAGGUGGCAUUUACAGAAGAAGAAAUAGGAAAUUCACCAAAAGGAAUCAGUAA
rnacentral:lncRNA from 1 species